rnacentral:rRNA from 1 species
GACGAACGCUGGCGGCGUGCUUAACACAUGCAAGUCGAACGGAAAGGCCCUGCUUUUGUGGGGUGCUCGAGUGGCGAACGGGUGAGUAACACGUGAGUAACCUGCCCUUGACUUUGGGAUAACUUCAGGAAACUGGGGCUAAUACCGGAUAGGAGCUCCUGCUGCAUGGUGGGGGUUGGAAAGUUUCGGCGGUUGGGGAUGGACUCGCGGCUUAUCAGCUUGUUGGUGGGGUAGUGGCUUACCAAGGCUUUGACGGGUAGCCGGCCUGAGAGGGUGACCGGCCACAUUGGGACUGAGAUACGGCCCAGACUAAUACGGGAGGCAGCAGUGGGGAAUAUUGCACAAUGGGCGGAAGCCUGAUGCAGCAACGCCGCGUGCGGGAUGACGGCCUUCGGGUUGUAAACCGCUUUCGCCUGUGACGAAGCGUGAGUGACGGUAAUGGGUAAAGAAGCACCGGCUAACUACGUG